UACGGGGGGUGCGAGCGUUGUCCGGAAUCACUGGGCGUAAAGGGCGCGUAGGUGGCGUGAUAAGGGUGUGGUGAAAGCCCGGGGCUCAACCCCGGGUCUGCCAUGCCGACUGUCAGGCUCGAGUGCUGUAGGGGCAGGCGGAAUUCCGGGUGUAGCGGUGGAAUGCGUAGAGAUCCGGAGGAAGACCGGUGGCGAAGGCGGCCUGCUGGGCAGUUACUGACACUGAGACGCGAAAGCGUGGGGAGCAAACAGG
rnacentral:rRNA from 1 species